rnacentral:misc_RNA from 1 species
AGCUAAGAGUUGUAGUAAUUGCUAGUGGACUCUUGAUCAUUGCCUUUUUAUAUCAUGUUCCAAUUACAGGUGGUGUUGAGGUGCCAAAUUGGGGAAAGGGAGCAACUGGAGUGAAGGUAGGAUCAAGGCCACCAAGGUGUAGUGUUGAUAAAUGCUUGAACUGCAGCCCUUGCAUGGCUACCCUAAUUGCACCAAUUCACCAAGGAAAACACAAAGCUUCUGCUGCUUCUUCUCAACAUGAUACUUAUUAUCUUCUUGCAUGGAAAUGCAAAUGUGGUAACAAGCUUUACCACCCAUGAUUACUCUACUAGUAUAUAUGUUUGUAAUUUUAUACCUGAAAGAUAUCGUCUAUACCUUCUUUCUCAAAACAAAAACAAAAAGAAAAUGAUGUAUGCUUGUCUAAUAUA